UUAAGUUCAGCGGGUAUUCCUACCUGAUCCGAGGUCAACCUUGGUAUGUUGGGUGUUUUACGGCAAGCGCCCGCCGCCGCGACCAAAGCGAGAUGUUACUACUGCGCUCGGUGUGACAGCGAGCCCGCCACUGGUUUUAGGGGUCUGCGGCAGCCGCAGGACCCCAACGCAAGCCCGGGGGCUUGAUGGUUGAAAUGACG
rnacentral:misc_RNA from 1 species